rnacentral:rRNA from 1 species
UGGUGGAGUGAUUUGUCUGGUUAAUUUCGUUAACGAACGAGACCUUAACCUUCUAAAUAGUUACAUGUAACUUCGGUUACAUGGGCAACUUCUUAGAGGGACUUUACGUGUCUAACGCAAGGAAGUUUGAGGCAAUAACA